CCAAAUCUCAUUUCUGCCUGUUGUGGGACCUCAGGCAGCCUAUUCAAUUGCUCUGAGCUUCGUUUUCACCUUCUGUAAAUGGGGAUGGUGAUAGCACCCGCUUCAGAAGGUACACUGCCCUAAUACACGGGGUAUUCCCACAGACUUCAUCAUUGUUCCAGCGAUAUCCCAGCGUGCCUGCUGUGUGCCAGAGACUGCGCCUGAGGCUAGGAAUACAGAGGUCAAUAAGCCAGCUGGAUUUUCAAAGAUACAUAUGUGGCUUUGGAAUGUUGGUUUGCUGCCUCCCCGCCUCCACUUGUGUGAUAAUGAUGCUGCUAAAGCUGUUCCAUGCCUAUUGGCCGAAUACCCCAAGCUUGUACUUUACCCUACAAAACCUCAUGCGCACGUCUUGGAGGUGCUCAGAGCUUUGGAGCAGAAGCCCCUCUGAGCCUGCCGGCGUAAUACAUCUGAGUACUCCAACCCUCCGAGUGGUGCUUGUUUCUUGACUGGCCUGUCGUUUCCGUAACAAAUAAAGAACCACGAAUCUCAGGAUCCAACA